AACGUAGGGGGCAAGCGUUGUCCGGAAUUACUGGGCGUAAAGGGCGUGUAGGUGGCCCGUGAAGUCGAGAGUGAAAACCGAGGGCUUAACCUUCGGCCUGCUUUCGAAACCAGCGGGCUUGAGUGCAGUAGAGGGAAGUGGAAUUCCCAGUGUAGCGGUGAAAUGCGUAGAUGUUGGGAGGAACACCAGUGGCGAAAGCGGCUUCCUGGCCUGCAACUGACACUGAGGCGCGAAAGCGUGGGGAGCAAACAGGAUUAGAUACCCGUGUAGU
rnacentral:rRNA from 1 species